rnacentral:tRNA from 1 species
ACCCAGCUGGCUUGUUUGGAAGAGCAUGUGACUCUUGAUCUCGGCGUCAUGAGUUCAAGCCCCAUGUUGGGUG